rnacentral:lncRNA from 1 species
UGCCUCUGCCCCCUGAGUUCUGGGAUCAAGAAGGGUCUUUACUGUCAUGUUCAUCUGAGAAUAUGGAUAUUUAAAAUCUUGGCAGUAGGAAGUUUUCUUUUUUCUUUUUCCUUCCUCCCUUCCCUUCCUUCCCUUCCCUUCCCUUUCCCUCUCUCCCUCCCUCCCUCCCUCUCUUUCCUUUUUUUUUUUAAAGAUUUUUUAAAAAGUUAUUUUAUGUAUAUGAGUGCUCUAACUGCAUAGAGACCUGCAUUCCAGAAAAGGACAUGGAAUCACAUUACAGAAGGUUGUGAGCCAUUAUGUGCUUGGUGGGAAUUGAACUCAGGACCUCUGGAAGAGCAGCUAGUGCUCUUAACCAUCUCUUAACCGAGCCAUCUCUCCAGCCUGGGAAGUUUUCUUGAGCUACAAGUUUUGCUUUUAAUAAGGAGAAUGUUAUCCUUUUAGAAUUUGAUCCCUUAAGUGACUCUAGGUCGCAGAAUCAAUUUGUUUGGUUGUCCAGGUGCUUGAAGAACAUGGCCUUGAGCUGCUGGAGUAGUGUAUGCCUGUAAUCCCAGCACAUGGGCAGAUGAGGAAGGAGAGUUCAAGACCAGUUUGAGCUAUGUAGUGAGUUCAGUGUCAUGAUGGGCUAUAGAGGAAGCCCUGGUCUCCAGAAAAGUAACAAACGAACAACUCCCUCCACAUCAAAGGACGGAGUGAAAAUCUCAAACAGUGGCUUAAUUUCUGACCUGAGAGACUGAGCUUGAGUUAUGUAAGCUAUGAGAAGUUUUAAUAGUUGUGUAAUACAGUUUUCAAAAUACUUAAUAUUACAAAACAUGCUAUUAAGCUGGAUGUAGUUAUAUACACCUUUAAUUCCAGCACUUGGGAGCAGGAGCAGGCAGAUCUUGUGAGUUUGAGACCAGCCUGGUCUACAGAGCUCCAGAACAGCCAGGUUUCUGUAGAGAGACCCAAUCUCAAAGAAACAAAAACAAAAGCAAUACAGUGACAGAAAACUUUUUUCUUUUUUGCCUUUAAUUUAGUACACAAAUUUUACAUGUGUUCAUGGAAUCUUGAAUUCUUUGAAAGUCAGUUUUAAGAGAAAAAAGUUUAUAGACAUGAGUGUCUACUAUUUAAAAAGUCAGAAAUAUCCCAGAUAACCUAAUGAUAACCUCAAGGUCUUAGAAAAGCAAGAACAAUCCAGAUUCAGCAGCAGGGGACAGCUGGAAGUAACGAUGGUCAGAGCAGAAAUCAGUGAACUGAAGGAUGAAAGAACUGUGUAGAGGGAAACAGAGAGUCGGCUCCUGGAAAGUUCAGCAGGAUUGGCAAGUCCUGGCUUGUCAAGACUCCAUCAAAUUAGAGAUGAACAAGCUGAGUUAACUACAGGUCCUAGUGAAGUGCAGAGAAGGAGGGUAUAUUCUAAAUAGUUGGUAAACCUAGAAAAAAAAUGGGUAAAUUCUUAGGUCUAUCAAAACUGAGUCAGUAUGGUAUUAACAGCCUCAAUAGAUGCAUAGCAAUCAAAGACAUUGAAGCAGCUAUAAGGCAAUUCAAGUAGUAAUAAAAGAUCUCCCAACAAAGAAUGCAAGAGCAGAUGGAAUCCACUGCCGAAGUCAAACAAAAAUUUCCUUUACAGAAAAAUAGCAAAGGAAGGAGUACUACCAUUCUGUGAAGCCAGCAGUACAGUGAUAAAUACGCAACAAAAAGAAAACUUGAAUUCUCAACAGAACUCCAGAAGCAAAACUCCAGAACACUGUGGUUUCCUUCCAGGGAUGCAGUGUUGGUUUAACACAACAUAGAAUAAACCAUAGAGUAAACCAGCAUGUAGGUUUACGAGCAGAAAUUACCCGGUAAUCACAGGUGAUCAGAAAAGGCCCUUGCUUCAGAAGUUCAGCAUUCCUUUAUAAUAAAAGCUCAGCGGGCAUAAAUGAAUGCACCAAAACAUAAAAAAGGAUGCAUAUGAAUAAAACCCAUAGCCAACAUUAUACUAAUUGAGGGGAAAAUAGGAGAAGUUCCUCCAAAAUCUAGAAUGAGAUUAAGGUUCAGACUUUGUGUGGUGCAGACUUUUAAUGCCAGUACUCAGAAGGCAGAAGCAGGUGGAUCUCUUUGGUUUAAGCCUAGUUUGAUCUAGUUCCAGGCCAGCUAAAACCAUAUAUUGAAACACUGCAUCAAAAACAACAGCAAAACAAAAACAAACAACCUAAAAGUUUCCAGUUCUCUUUUAGAACUUAGUUUAGUAUGCCAAAUCUUACCUAGGGCAGUAAGUCAAGAGAGAGCAACAAAAGGAAUUCAGAUGGGGAGCAAAAGUCCAAUUUCCCCAGUGCUGAGGCAACAUGUCUUGUUUCACAGCAGAACUGAGGUGGGAGCUCCCCCUGCUGGCUAGUUUUCACAGUGCAGAAGUUGUAUGUGGGAGACUGGAGGAGAAAGGCAUUAAUGAGGAUCGCACCGCAGAGAUCUCUGCCACCCAUAAUACCAACUUGUAGGCAAGAUGUACUCAUUGCAGUAGUGGCACAACCAUACGGAAACAACCAGAUGCUCUGUGCUUGGUUUUGAAGCCUGUUCCCCAAGAGGGAGUCCAUGCCUGGAACUGUGAACCUAGUUAACUUCCUAUGCCUGAGGUCUUUGACCCUGGAAGGGAACUUACUGUUGUUGUUUAGUUAAAUUGAUAAAGCGCCAAGCUGCCUUUAAAAUACUUAGGUUUAUGUUCGUGAGUUAAACACUACUUUGAAAAGUAUAAUGAAUAAGGAAAAUUUAGAGUCACAUGGCUGCUGAAGAUACUGAGAGUAAGUAGUGGGCAAGUGCUCAGCCCUC